CAUUACCGAGUUUACAACUCCCAAACCCAAUGUGAACGUUACCAAACUGUUGCCUCGGCGGGAUCUCUGCCCCGGGUGCGUCGCAGCCCCGGACCAAGGCGCCCGCCGGAGGACCAACCAAAACUCUUAUUGUAUACCCCCUCGCGGGUUUUUUUAUAAUCUGAGCCUUCUCGGCGCCUCUCGUAGGCGUUUCGAAAAUGAAUCAAAACUUUCAACAACGGAUCUCUUGGUUCUGGCAUCGAUGAAGAACGCAGCGAAAUGCGAUAAGUAAUGUGAAUUGCAGAAUUCAGUGAAUCAUCGAAUCUUUGAACGCACAUUGCGCCCGCCAGUAUUCUGGCGGGCAUGCCUGUCCGAGCGUCAUUUCAACCCUCGAACCCCUCCGGGGGGUCGGCGUUGGGGAUCGGCCCUGCCUCUUGGCGGCGGCCGUCUCCGAAAUACAGUGGCGGUCUCGCCGCAGCCUCUCCUGCGCAGUAGUUUGCACACUCGCAUCGGGAGCGCGGCGCGUCCACAGCCGUUAAACACCCAACUUCUGAAAUGUUGACCUCGGAUCAGGUAGGAAUACCCGCUGAACUUAAGCAUAUCA
rnacentral:rRNA from 1 species